rnacentral:lncRNA from 1 species
UUGGCCAUAAUUACCAGCGUAGUGGUUACAAUUUCUGGCAUGUUGAUUCCCUCCACGUUUAUUGUCACCGCUUCGAUGACUGCUACCACUGGUAUUACCAUUUUGCUAGUUGUUUUCUCUUGGUUCGGUUGACUCGUUAUCGCGCUCCAAUAACUGAGCCCUAUUCACAACAUCUGAAUGUUAACACAGUUUAUGAGAGAUAAGGUAUUGACG